AUAGCUUGUACUGGGGAUGUGGAGGGCUGUGAUAGCAUUACCUGGAAGGAAGUGAGCACUCUCGGCAAAUAAGGCUGGAAAAGAAUAGCCUCGGACGUAGGAUGUUGCCCAGGAGCACCCAGGACAACCCUCUCUUUGCUCAAGAAACAACAUUACAUCAUUCCAACCGGAAUCUCACCUUGCUUGCUGUUGUGCUGUGUGGCUUACCUGGUGGUGGGGAGAGAAGAGGAGAUGGAGAAAACAAUGCUGCGUGUUAGGAAAUAUGAGACAAAGUCAGUUAGCCGCAAGGCAGUCUCUGCCCCACAUAUUGUGAUGAAGAUCUGGAACACAAAAACACCUCACGUAACUUUUAAAGCUUCAAACCUGUGAUUUAUAAUGGGACUGCAAUGUACAGUGGCCUCAAAUUAGACUUUAUUGUGUAGCUUUAAUCUUCUUUCUUGCUCAGCUCUGAUUGUUGCUUUCUUAUGAGCAAGCAAAAACUGAUGUACAAAGAUGGACAGUUGCUUCUGUAUUACAGUUUGCUUCCCCAUCACAGUGUAGCCAGAGAUUCUGAAUUCACAUGCACAUAAUAGACUGUGAGGAAGUACAGCACAAUCAUCUUGAGCUCCGAAAAAAAAUCACCUGUGUGUGUGUGCAGCAUAUAAUUACAGGAGAAGCAGUAGCAAUAACUUCCAAAUGAACAUUACCAAAUACUUCCAGUGGAAAAAUGCUUAUGAUCUUUUGUGAAGUGUUCUGUGUCUCCAUGGCUAGCAACAGGCCUUUGAAACUUGACACCUUUUUGUUGGCUGUUUUGAGAACAAAACAAACAAACAAAAAAAAACCGAACAAAAAAAAAAACCAAAACAAAAAACCCACAAACGUUCAGACUGUAUGAAUUGUAAGCUAUUUUAAAAUCUUAUUUCUUGUCCUUGGUUCUCAUAUGUUUUGGCAAUAUCUCAGAAUCCUGCAAUAAUCUACAGAGCUUGUGGUUGUCUGUUGUCAGCAUUUACCCUUGGUGUGCUAUAUACUCCAGGUGGGACACACAGAGAAUAACUACCCUUCAACCUGGAAUAUCCUUUUGCUUGCAAGUACUGUCCACUGGGAGCAACAGAAUGAUGGUGCUACACUUCUUUUCCUGUCCAGGAAUAAUAUUUUUUGUCUUAUAAUAGAACUGUGCCUUUACACUGAACAGGCCAAACCAAGACAGAGUAUUGUCUACAGCUGGGGCAUCAGCCUACGUCUUUGGACAUGUAAGUUGAGUUCUAGCUGACCACAGAUAACAUGAGUUUUUAUACAAAUAAAUGUAUAAAAAUGUUCUUCUUUUUUUUUCCUUCUUUUUCUCUCUCCUCUCUCUCUCUCUCUUUUUUUUUUCUUUUUUUUUUUUCCUGUAGGAUAGAAAGAAGGAAGAAUUGUGCAAUUAAUUGUUGCUAUGUUUUAAUUGUUCAACACGUCACUUAUUGGAUGAAAUUCUAGCCUAAAAGCAGUAGUGUGAUAUAUAAUGUGACAUAAUGGAUUUUAAUUAUGUUUGGGCCAUACCAUGGCAGACAAAACUGCUAUUAUCCUCAAUGGAAACCAGAUUAAUAGGUAAAAAUUUUCAUGAAUGUUUUUUCCCUCUAUGUUCGACACUUUCAGUUGUUCUGUGUUUGAAAAUUCUUACCUUAUAGUACAUUAAAUUAUAAAGCCUACAUGCAAAUUUACCUUUGAAGAAUACUAUUUAGGUUACAAAGUGAAGCUCUCUAAAGAAGUCAGGUGGUGCUGAACUUCAAUGUAUUUUUGCAAUAAAAUAGUGAGCAAACUCUU
ensembl:lncRNA